rnacentral:rRNA from 1 species
AAAUAGAUACCCUGGUAGUCCACGCCGUAAACGUUGGGCGCUAGAUGUGGGGACCAUUCCACGGUUUCCGUAUCGCAGCUAACGCAUUAAGCGCCCCGCCUGGGGAGUACGGCCGCAAGGCUAAAACUCAAAGGAAUUGACGGGGGCCCGCACAAGCGGCGGAGCAUGCGGAUUAAUUCGAUGCAACGCGAAGAACCUUACCAAGGCAUGACAUGUAGGAGGAAACGGCUAGAAAUAGUCGCCCCGCAAGGUCUCCUACACAGGUGGUGCAUGGUUGUCGUCAGCUCGUGUCGUGAGAUGUUCGGUUAAGUCCGGCAACGAGCGCAACCCUCGUCCUAUGUUGCCAGCGGGUAAUGCCGGGAACUCAUGGGAUACUGCCGUGGUCAACACGGAGGAAGGUGGGGAUGAGGUCAAAUCAUCACGCCCCUUAAGUCUUGGGCUUCACGCAUGCUACAAUGGCCGAUACAAAGGGCUGCGAUACCGCAAGGUGGAGCGAAUCCCAAAAAGUCGGUCUCAGUUCGGAUUGGGGUCUGCAACUCGACCCC